CUUAAUAAUAGGAAAUGAUUGGCUUCCCUAACUGAAGUCAAAGAGUGUUCAUCUGAGUGGUCAGUGCUGUAAGGAGUGGGUUUCUCUCCACCUCUCAGCUCUACUUUCCUUUGAGUUGGGUGUCCUCGUGGGUCAGAUGUUGGGCGUCUUGUCUUAUAGCUCUGGAUUCAUCACCAUCUAGUUUAACAACUAGUGUAAAAGGAAAUUUUCCUUCUGGGUAAUUCUUUACUAAUCCCAGAUGUCAUUCUCAUCGUCCUGGAUUGGGUCACAAGCCUACCUCUGAAUCAGUCCCUAAAAUGAGAGACUACCAUAUUCUCCUUGAUCUGAACUAGGUACUCUUGUACCCGUUUUGUGGCCAAGGAAUGGCAUCAGCAGCUACACCAGAAGAGGUAUCGAGAAGAAGAGGUCGUUCCUUAAAGGGACAUGAAUCGAAGCAGAAAAUUGGAUGGCCCCAAUAGGGAGCAUUUGACUGGACCAUGAAGGAGAACGUGAAUUUCAUUUUCUGGCAAUGGGAAGCCUCUGAUCACUUCUGGGAAUGGACACAUGAAGUAAGACAUUCCUCACUACAUGCAUUUGCUCCUAGGAGAUGAAAAGUGCGGGGCAGACUACACGCGAGGGAUGUGCUGGCUUCAUCUUUUCCUCACCCAGCAUUGGAGGAAAGACUGAGAAAAAGAGUUGGGAUCAGCUUGGGAUAGCACAGCACAAUCCUGGCAGGACCACUGGCGUCUGACAUGCAGAGCCCAGCCUGACCUGGAGGAUGAGAAACCAUGUGGAUUAUAACUGAGCCAUCCCACACCAGCCAGCCCCCAGCUGACCUGGCUGGCAGUCAACUGCAGACAUACAGGUGAGAACACGAAGACACAAAGGGAUGGUACACAAAUAGUAAGCGAUGGAAUGGGAUUCGGUACCCAGGCAGUUGGUCUCCAGAGCUCACCUCUGCUUGACACGGCCGCUGCUAGCCAGAGCCAGCACAGUGCCUGGGACGCAGACGAGUAAAGGCCAGAUAACUAACCAUUUAUGCUGGCUAUGAAACACACCUCCAUUUUUCUACCUUAUUGUGCUAUGACUUAUUAUAUAUUCAAUCAUACUUUCAGUGGAGCUCAGACACCACUCAGAAAAGUUGGAUACCAAAACAGGAAUACAGUUUCCUGUUCACGGACACCUCCUGGCCUCGUACAUCUUCAGUUUCAUCACACAGAAUAAAAGGACUCUCCAUCCAGUGUUUCCACUUUGAAAAAUUGCAAGGAAUGCAGAUAUUCGGUAAGGUCUCAGAUACUUGAGAUAACAAGAGAGAAGAAGGAUCGCGAGCCAGAUUUGUGAGAUGUUUUCUUUUCUCUCCCAAUCCUGCUCUUCCUUUGAAAUUUCGCAGACUUAGAUAUAAUUUUCUCUUUGAUUAUACUUUCAAAUGUUUGAUAUAUUUUUGUAAAUACCUAGCUCUUGCUAUGAAAAUGGUUCUGCUUGAUGUAAUAACCUAAUAGUAGAUAACACAGAUGAUUUUUCCCUUUCUCGCCAAAAUAAUGGUUUUGCCCCAGUUACAUAUUGAUACGCUGAAUUAGAAGUACAAUAUUCCAAGAAUAAUGAAAAACUUACGCAAGAUAUCUUUAGCCUCUAUAUUUAGACCAGUUUAACAGAGGAAAGCAUCAGGAUUUUGAUCACAAAGUACUGCAAAUUGUUUGUUGACCAUACAUUUGAAAGUAAGACAGUGACUCACCUUGAACAUGUAAAGAUACGAAUUUUUGUAUAAUAUUCCCAAAAGUCAUCGUUCAUUACUUUGUAGGCAGAGAAAUAACUUUCAGAAAAAGGAGUCAUGGAUUGCAGUUCUAAUCUCACUGUCUCCGCUAUGUCUUAUUGUGUAAAUCAUCUGAUUUAUUAGCUGCUUUGACUUUUCUUUGGGGAAAAUAGCCCUUUUUUUCCCACUUACUUUAAAGGAAAAUGUUGAACAUCACGGACAUUGGCUAAGAUAAUAUAGUUUAUAUGAAAGAACACCAGACUGAAAGUAGAAUUGCCUCGGUCAAAUUAUUUAAAUUUAUCCUCUUACUGGAAAUGAGAUCCUCAAUAAAUAGUCAGAUCUCCCAGUCCCUGUUUCCUUAUGUAUAAAAUAAAGGAUUUUAA